rnacentral:rRNA from 1 species
GAUGAACGCUGACAGAAUGCUUAGCACAUGCAAGUCUACUUGAUUCUACUUCGGUAGUUGAUGGUGGCGGACGGGUGAGUAACGCGUAAAGAAUCUGCCCUUUAGUUUGGGAUAACCUUUGGAAACGAAGGCUAAUACCGGAUAUUAUGGAGACGUCGCAUGGCGACUCCAUGAAAGCUAUAUGCGCUAGAGGAGGACUUUGCGUCCCAUUAGUUAGUUGGUGAGGUAAUGGCUCACCAAGACCGCGAUGGGUAGCCGGCCUGAGAGGGUGAUCGGCCACAAGGGAACUGAGACACGGUCCUUACUCCUACGGGAGGCAGCAGUGGGGAACAUUGGACAAUGGGCCACACGCCUGAUCCAGCAAUUCUGUGUGCACGAUGAAGGUCUUCGGAUUGUAAAGUGCUUUCAGUAGGGAAGAAAAAAAUGACGGUACCUACAGAAGAAGCGACGGCUAAAUAUGUGCCAGCAGCCGCGGUAC